AGCUCCAAUAGCGUAUAUUAAAGUUGUUGCAGUUAAAAAGCUCGUAGUUGAAGUUUGGGCCUGGGCGGGCGGUCUACCUAUGGUGAGUACUGCUGCGGCCGGGUCUUUCCUUCUGGCUAGCCCUUGUGGCGAACCAGGACGAUUACUUUGAGGAAAUUAGAGUGUUCAAAGCAGGCCUUUGCUCGAAUAUAUUAGCAUGGAAUAAUAGAAUAGGACGUAUGGUUCUAUUUUGUUGGUUUCUAGGACCAUCGUAAUGAUUAAUAGGGACGGUCGGGGGCAUCAGUAUUCAGUUGUCAGAGGUGAAAUUCUUGGAUUAACUGAAGACUAACUACUGCGAAAGCAUUUGCCAAGGACGUUUUCA
rnacentral:rRNA from 1 species